GGGCCCUCGGCGACGCAAUAGCGCCAGGCCUUCCGCGUCGUCAGAGUGACGGUACAGUGCCUGGAGCUGGGCUGUUUUGUCUUCAGAGUGGUGCCUGGUAACCGCGACUUCCCCGCCAUGUUCUGUGUGUUGCUGGCUGGAGAAGGGUGGUUGACAAACUCUGACCCAGCACGGUGUUUCUGUGGGUCAAAACUAGAAAACUAUAUCCGGGCGCCGAGGUGAAAGGAUCCCUUCAGGCCAGGAGUUAAAGAGCAGCCUAGGCAACGUGGCGCGACCCCAUCUCUGUAGUCCCACCUCAGCUUCCCAGAUACUUGAACCCCAAAGUUCAAGGCUGCAGUGAGCUAUGAUCCCAUCACAGCACUCCAGCCUGCGAGACUGAGGUAAACCCUGUCUAAAAAAGUAAAAAAACUAUCCAAGUGUGCAACAGGGAGGGACUGCUUAAAGAAAACAGAAUUGUAUGUUCAAAUACUUUUAACAAGUGCAAAAUGUAUAGGCUGAAAUAAAUAGAGCUGGCCGAGCGCGUUUGCUCACGCCUGUAAUGCCAACAUUUUCGGUGCCCUAGGCAGGCCAUCACUUGAAGUCAGGAACUCGAGGCCAGCCUGGCCAACAUGGUGAAACCCCAUGUCUACUAAAAA
rnacentral:lncRNA from 1 species